UACGUAGGGGGCUAGCGUUGUCCGGAAUCAUUGGGCGUAAAGAGCGUGUAGGCGGCCCGGUAAGUCCGCUGUAAAAGUCAAGGGCUCAACCUUUGAAUGUCAGUGGAUACUGCCGGGCUAGAGUCCGGAAGAGGCGAGUGGAACUCCUGGUGUAGCGGUGGAAUGCGCAGAUAUCAGGAGGAACACCAACGGCGAAGGCAGCUCGCUGGGACGGUACUGACGCUGAGGCGCGAAAGCGUGGGGAGCGAACAGG
rnacentral:rRNA from 1 species